UACAGAGGUCCCGAGCGUUGUUCGGAUUCACUGGGCGUAAAGGGUGCGUAGGUGGCAGGGUAAGUUUGAUGUGAAAUCUCCGGGCUUAACCCGGAAACUGCAUUGAAUACUAUCUCGCUUGAGGGUUGGAGGGGAGACUGGAAUUCUUGGUGUAGCAGUGAAAUGCGUAGAUAUCAAGAGGAACACCAGUGGCGAAGGCGAGUCUCUGGACAACUCCUGACACUGAGGCACGAAAGCUAGGGGAGCAAACAGG
rnacentral:rRNA from 1 species